UUAAUUUUUUUCUUUUUCUUUUUCUUUUGGCCACACAAUCCACUUUACAGAGGCCUUAACCUUACUUGCACUUUACUCCUCCCAUCUCAUUAUAUCAACAUGCAUCCUAGUGAUUUGAUUUCACCCAGAUAUUAUCCUUGGUAUAUCAAUCGAUAUGUGCUCAAAAUAAAUCUUCUUCAAAGGAUCAAUCUAGAGGAUGAAUGAAUGAGCUUCAAAUAUGAAUAUAAUUGAUGUAUAUUGAUUCUUUUCUCAUCAGCAGCAGUAGCAGCUUGUAGCUUGUUUGGAAUUGUCUGCCUCUUCUUUUCUGUUUUCUAGUAAGGGCUACUGUUGUAUCCAAAUAUAUGUUGAGA